CAACCGAGCGCAACCCUCGCCUCUAGUUGCCAGCAUUCAGUUGGGCACUCUAGAGGGACUGCCGGUGAUAAGCCGCGAGGAAGGUGGGGAUGACGUCAAGUCCUCAUGGCCCUUACGGGCUGGGCUACACACGUGCUACAAUGGUGGUGACAGUGGGAUGCAAAAGGGCGACCUCUAGCAAAUCUCCAAAAGCCAUCUCAGUUCGGAUUGCACUCUGCAACUCGAGUGCAUGAAGUUGGAAUCGCUAGUAAUCGUGGAUCAGCAUGCCACGGUGAAUACGUUCCCGGGCCUU
rnacentral:rRNA from 1 species